rnacentral:rRNA from 1 species
CACCGGAGCUUGCUCCACCGGAAAAAGAGGAGUGGCGAACGGGUGAGUAACACGUGGGUAACCUGCCCAUCAGAAGGGGAUAACACUUGGAAACAGGUGCUAAUACCGUAUAACAAUCGAAACCGCAUGGUUUUGAUUUGAAAGGCGCUUUCGGGUGUCGCUGAUGGAUGGACCCGCGGUGCAUUAGCUAGUUGGUGAGGUAACGGCUCACCAAGGCCACGAUGCAUAGCCGACCUGAGAGGGUGAUCGGCCACAUUGGGACUGAGACACGGCCCAAACUCCUACGGGAGGCAGCAGUAGGGAAUCUUCGGCAAUGGACGAAAGUCUGACCGAGCAACGCCGCGUGAGUGAAGAAGGUUUUCGGAUCGUAAAACUCUGUUGUUAGAGAAGAACAAGGAUGAGAGUAACUGUUCAUCCCUUGACGGUAUCUAACCAGAAAGCCACGGCUAACUACGUGCCAGCAGCCGCGGUAAUACGUAGGUGGCAAGCGUUGUCCGGAUUUAUUGGGCGUAAAGCGAGCGCAGGCGGUUUCUUAAGUCUGAUGUGAAAGCCCCCGGCUCA